AUGGAAGAACUAACUAAAGAAAUUGAAUUAACUGCCCUUUUUAAUAAAAUAUCGGUUGGCGCUAAAACAAUUAACUUAGAAGAAACAUUGGACAUAAUAUACCAAUUGGGCUAUUAUCCUUCUAAAGAAAACAUAGAUGAGUUUGUUUAUACUAAUAAUGGUAUUUACUCUUUGUCUAACAUUAAAAAAUUUUGCAAUAAACUUGAAUCAAUCGAUUGCUCUACCGAAGGAUUAAUAGACGUGUUUAAUCAUUAUGACAUAAAUAAAACAGGUAAAAUAUCAAAAGAAGUAAUUAAGAUGUUAUUUACUAAUGUUGGUUCUAAAUUAUCAAAUUCAGAGAUGGAUAUUAUUAUCAGUAAAUUGUGUAAAGCGGACGAACAAGUAGAUUAUAAGGAAUUUUUAAACAAGCUAUUAAAUCAAUGAUAUAAAAAAUUUCUCCGUGUUAUACACACACACAUGUCCUAUAGCUAAACUUUUUACUUAUCAAAAAAAAAAAAAGUGUUUAAGGAUUUUGUAACCGCUUGAAUGGAUUAUUUACAUUUUUCUUAUCUUCGUUUUAUGCCACAUUUUCAUUAUUUUUAUUUUUUUUGUUAUAGAAUUCACAUUUUCAAAAAUGCGCUAUACAAAAUAAUAAAAUAACAAAAAUUUUACA
rnacentral:lncRNA from 1 species